UAAUACAGAGGGUGCGAGCGUUAAUCGGAAUUACUGGGCGUAAAGCGCGCGUAGACGGUUUUGUAAGUCAGAUGUGAAAUCCCUGGGCUCAACCUGGGAACUGCAUUUGAUACUGCAUGGCUAGAGUAUCGAAGAGGGAAGUGGAAUUUCCGGUGUAGCGGUGAAAUGCGUAGAUAUCGGAAGGAACACCAGUGGCGAAAGCGACUUCCUGGUCGAAUACUGACGUUCAUGUGCGAAAGCGUGGGGAGCAAACAGGAUUAGAUACCCUGGUAGUCCACGCCAUAAACGAUGACAACUAAGUGUCGGCGGGUUACCGCCGGUGCCGCACCUAACGGAGUAAGUUCCCCGCCUGGGGAGUACGGCCGCAAGGUUG
rnacentral:rRNA from 1 species